rnacentral:rRNA from 1 species
AUUGAACGCUGGCGGCAUGCCUAACACAUGCAAGUCGAACGGCAGCACGGUCCAGUUUACUGGAUGGGUGGCGAGUGGCGGACGGGUGAGUAACGCGUAGGAAUAUGCCUUGAAGAGGGGGAUAACUUGGGGAAACUCAAGCUAAUACCGCAUAAUCUCUUAGGAGGAAAGCUGGGGACCUUCGGGCCUGGCGCUUUAAGAUUAGCCUGCGUACGAUUAGCUAGUUGGUGGGGUAAGGGCCUACCAAGGCGACGAUCGUUAGCUGGUCUGAGAGGAUGGCCAGCCACACUGGAACUGAGACACGGUCCAGACUCCUACGGGAGGCAGCAGUGGGGAAUAUUGGACAAUGGGGGGAACCCUGAUCCAGCAAUGCCGCGUGUGUGAAGAAGGCCUGAGGGUUGUAAAGCACUUUCAGUGGGGAGGAGGGUUGACAGGUUAAGAGCCUAGUGGCUUGACGGUACCAGGGGAGGAAGCACCGGCUAACUUCGUGCCAGCAGCCGCGGUAA